rnacentral:rRNA from 1 species
UACAGAGGUCUCAAGCGUUGUUCGGAUUCAUUGGGCGUAAAGGGUGCGUAGGCGGCGCGGUAAGUCGGGUGUGAAAUCUCGGAGCUUAACUCCGAAACUGCAUUCGAUACUGCCGUGCUUGAGGACUGGAGAGGAGACUGGAAUUUACGGUGUAGCGGUGAAAUGCGUAGAUAUCGUAAGGAGACCAGUGGCGAAGGCGGGUCUCUGGACAGUUCCUGACGCUGAGGCACGAAGGCAGGGAGCAAACGGGAUUAGAACCGGUACCGCAGACCA